UAGCUCAGUGGUAGAGUGCGUGCCUAGCACACACAAGGUCCUGGGUUCACUUCCCAG
rfam:Camelus ferus unplaced genomic scaffold scaffold614, whole genome shotgun sequence.